CCCUUAGAUGUUCUGGGCUGCACGCGCGCUACACUGAAGCUAUCAACACGUUUUCCCUCCCUGAGAAGGGCGGGUAACCUUUUGAAUCAGCUUCGUGGUAGGGAUCGGGGCUUGCAAUUGUUCCCCGUGAACCAGGAAUUCCUAGUAGACGCGAGUCAUAAGCUCGCAUCGAUUAAGUCCCUGCCCUUUGUACACACCGCCCGUCGCUACUACCGAUUGAACGUUUUAGUGAGGCAUUUGGACCGACGCAUCUCAGUUUAACCACUGGUUUGUGUUGGAAAGACUUCCAAACUUGAGCGUUUAGAGGAAGUAAAAGUCGUAACA
rnacentral:rRNA from 1 species